GCCCGCCUAGCUCAAUCGGAUAGAGCGUCAGACUUUUAAGAAGUCCUUUGGUGGGCAAUAAUAAUCUGAAGGCUGCGAGUUCGACCCUCGCGGUGGGCU